CAUUCCGACGUGGAAGGGACCCAAAGACACAGUCUCCAGUUUAUUUGUCUAGAGGUGUUUUUUGGGUCCGCUUGUGUGUUGGAAUG
rnacentral:miRNA from 1 species